AGACGGAGGUGGCAAGCGUUGCUCGGAAUCACUGGGCUUAAAGGGCGCGUAGGCGGUUGAUCAAGUCGGAUGUGAAAGCCCUCGGCUUAACCGAGGAAUUGCAUCCGAUACUGGUCGGCUAGAGUGCGGGAGGGGAGAGUGGAACUCCAGGUGUAGCGGUGAAAUGCGUAGAUAUCUGGAGGAACACCGGUGGCGAAGGCGACUCUCUGGCCCGCAACUGACGCUGAGGCGCGAAAGCCAGGGUAGCGAACGGGAUUAGAAACCCCGGUAGUCC
rnacentral:rRNA from 1 species